UCAUUCCUAAUUUCAUUCAAAAAAUAAAAUAAAGAACAUAUA
rnacentral:tRNA from 1 species